GACGAACGCUGGCGGCGUGCUUAACACAUGCAAGUCGAACGGAAAGGCCCUGCUUUUGUGGGGUGCUCGAGUGGCGAACGGGUGAGUAACACGUGAGUAACCUGCCCUUGACUUUGGGAUAACUCUAGGAAACUGGGGCUCAUACCGGAUAGGAGCUCCUGCUGCACGGUGGGGGUUGGAAAGUUUCGGCGGUUGGGGAUGGACUAGCGGCUUAUCAGCUUGUUGGUGGGGUAGUGGCUUACCAAGGUUUUGACGGGUAGCCGGCCUGAGAGGGUGACCGGGCACAAUGGGACUGAGAUACGGCCCAGACUCCUACGGGAGGCAGCAGUGGGGAGUAUUGCACAAUGGGCGGAAGCCUGAUGCAGCAACGCCGCGUGCGGGAUGACGGCCUUCGGGUUGUAAACCGCUUUCGCCGGUGACGAAGCGUGAGUGACGGUAAUGGGUAAAGAAGCACCGGCUAACUACGUG
rnacentral:rRNA from 1 species